UACGGGGGGGGCAAGCGUUGUUCGGAAUUACUGGGCGUAAAGGGCGCGUAGGCGGUUUCGCUAAGUCGGAUGUGAAAACUCUGGGCUCAACCCAGAGCCUGCAUCCGAAACUGGCGGGCUAGAGUUCUGGAGGGGUAGCGGAAUUCCUGGUGUAGCGGUGAAAUGCGUAGAUAUCAGGAGGAACACCUGUGGUGUAGACGGCUUUCUGGACCAUUGCUGACGCUGAGACACGAAAGCGUGGGUAGCAAACAGG
rnacentral:rRNA from 1 species